rnacentral:tRNA from 2 species
UGUAGGAUGCCUGAGAAAAGGAUAAUUUUGAUAGAAUUAAAUAUGUGCAACUCGCACUCCUAUAA